rnacentral:rRNA from 1 species
AUACGUAGGGAGCGAGCGUUGUCCGGAAUUACUGGGUGUAAAGGGAGCGUAGGCGGGAGUGCAAGUCAGAUGUGAAAUACAUGGGCUCAACCCAUGGGCUGCAUUUGAAACUGCAUUUCUUGAGUGAAGUAGAGGUAAGCGGAAUUCCUGGUGUAGCGGUGAAAUGCGUAGAUAUCAGGAGGAACACCGGUGGCGAAGGCGGCUUACUGGGCUUUUACUGACGCUGAGGCUCGAAAGCGUGGGGAGCAAACAGGAUUAGAUGCCCGGGUAGUCCACGCUGUGAACGAUGAUUACUAGGUGUGGGGGGACUGACCCCAUCCGUGCCGCAGUUAACACAAUAAGUAAUCCACCUGGGGAGUACGGCCGCAAGGUUGAAACUCAAAUGAAUUGACGGGG